UACAGAGACUGCAAGCGUUAUUCGGAUUCACUGGGCGUAAAGGGUGCGCAGGCGGUUGGGCGUGUCAGAUGUGAAAUCCCGAGGCUUAACCUCGGAACUGCGUCUGAAACUACUCGACUAGAGUACUGGAGAGGGGAAACGGAAUUCACGGUGUAGCAGUGAAAUGCGUAGAUAUCGUGAGGAACACCAGAGGCGAAGGCGGUUUCCUGGACAGUUACUGACGCUCAGGCACGAAAGCAUGGGGAGCAAAAGGG
rnacentral:rRNA from 1 species